CGGAAAUGCAUUCCCUCCGACGACUUUGACUGCGAGGAGGGCUCCAUAGAGUCUCGGAACCGGGACGAGGCGGAGAGCGGCGGCGGCGGCGACCAAUCACAGCGCAGCCUCUGUGUCACGGUGGGCGUAUCCAUCCUGGCCGAGUUCCUGCUCAGGGUCCUGUACUGAGAGGAUCACGACCGCAGUUAGAACAAACAUACAACAAAAACAACAACAACAUCCACCACACCAACCAAACCAAAACCACCGUCACCACACCAACAACAAACAAACAAACCGACCGACACACACAAACCAAGAAACAAACACAGAUUUAUCGUGGGACCCCGGCUGGAUUGCGGCAAGAGCUGACUUCGCGCCCCUCAGGAUGUCUUGUGACAUCAUAUCCUCCACUGCCUGAAGAAAGAGGUCGACGCACCAAACACACAAACAAAGACUGGGAACUGUACUGCCGGGAUGGGUUUUUCCUCCGGCAGUGGACAGAGACAUCGUAACAGAAGACUAAGACUACGGACUGCUUGUGUGUGUUUGUGUGUCUGUGUGUUUGAAAGUGCACGCGACGCGAGUGCACAUGCACAUGAAGGGUAAAUAAAGGACACCGGAGAGAGAUGUCUUUGUCACACAGCUGUGACACAGGGUUUCCGCAGUGCAGGGUCUGAAGCGAUUGUUUGCUCUGCGCGACUCCAUUUAGGCUGUGUUUCCCCCACGGCGCGUUGAUCUUUUUAUUUGUAUUGUGUUUUUCCUUCGGUCGUAUUCAGAUGCACCACAGACACUGCGAUGCGGUGACAUGAUGGUGUGCCUGCGAACAAGCAAGCCUCCCCGAUCAGCAGAUCACCUCUGUAGCAGUGUGGCAAGCCAGAUAGCUGGGGAGGAGAGCAGACAGAGUUGGUGGUGAUGGGGGCAGACAGAAAGGCAGACAGACAGACAGAGGUAGACAGACGGAUAGACCGAUGGAUGGAUCACAGAGCUACUCAAAUUCACUUAGUUCUGAAUCAUUUGGCUAACACUCGUUCUCUCUCUCUCUUGCUCACUCUCUCUCUCUCUGUUGCUGUAGUCACAAAUUAGGUACAGUGCACACACUAAGAACAUGCACACACAAACAGAUACAUACACAGACAUACGUGCAUAGAAAUCUCCUUUUGGAUCUGGUUGGUAGACAGGGUUUCCUGCACCACAUGCUUUUCUCUAGUGGGCUCUUUUGCUGGUCAUCGACUCCUCCAUUUUGUUGUAAACAUAUUGUACAAAAUGUGUUUUUGUGAAGUAUGAAGAAACAUGUAAAUCUAAUGUAAUUUAAAUGGAGAGUGUAUAUUUCGCACAACAGUCAUUUACGUGGGCUUGGUAGUGUGUGUGUUAAACGUGUGUGUGUGUGUGUGUGUGUGUGUGUGUGUG
ensembl:lncRNA